rnacentral:rRNA from 1 species
UUAAGCGACUAAGCGUACACGGUGGAUGCCCUGGCAGUCAGAGGCGAUGAAGGACGUGCUAAUCUGCGAUAAGCGUCGGUAAGGUGAUAUGAACCGUUAUAACCGGCGAUUUCCGAAUGGGGAAACCCAGUGUGUUUCGACACACUAUCAUUAACUGAAUCCAUAGGUUAAUGAGGCGAACCGGGGGAACUGAAACAUCUAAGUACCCCGAGGAAAAGAAAUCAACCGAGAUUCCCCCAGUAGCGGCGAGCGAACGGGGAGCAGCCCAGAGCCUGAAUCAGUGUGUGUGUUAGUGGAAGCGUCUGGAAAGGCGCGCGAUACAGGGUGACAGCCCCGUACACAAAAAUGCACAUGCUGUGAGCUCGAUGAGUAGGGCGGGACACGUGGUAUCCUGUCUGAAUAUGGGGGGACCAUCCUCCAAGGCUAAAUACUCCUGACUGACCGAUAGUGAACCAGUACCGUGAGGGAAAGGCGAAAAGAACCCCGGCGAGGGGAGUGAAAAAGAACCUGAAACCGUGUACGUACAAGCAGUGGGAGCACAGAGCAAUCUGUGUGACUGCGUACCUUUUGUAUAAUGGGUCAGCGACUUAUAUUCUGUAGCAAGGUUAACCGAAUAGGGGAGCCGAAGGGAAACCGAGUCUUAACUGGGCGUUAAGUUGCAGGGUAUAGACCCGAAACCCGGUGAUCUAGCCAUGGGCAGGUUGAAGGUUGGGUAACACUAACUGGAGGACCGAACCGACUAAUGUUGAAAAAUUAGCGGAUGACUUGUGGCUGGGGGUGAAAGGCCAAUCAAACCGGGAGAUAGCUGGUUCUCCCCGAAAGCUAUUUAGGUAGCGCCUCGUGAAUUCAUCUCCGGGGGUAGAGCACUGUUUCGGCAAGGGGGUCAUCCCGACUUACCAACCCGAUGCAAACUGCGAAUACCGGAGAAUGUUAUCACGGGAGACACACGGCGGGUGCUAACGUCCGUCGUGAAGAGGGAAACAACCCAGACCGCCAGCUAAGGUCCCAAAGUCAUGGUUAAGUGGGAAACGAUGUGGGAAGGCCCAGACAGCCAGGAUGUUGGCUUAGAAGCAGCCAUCAUUUAAAGAAAGCGUAAUAGCUCACUGGUCGAGUCGGCCUGCGCGGAAGAUGUAACGGGGCUAAACCAUGCACCGAAGCUGCGGCAGCGACGCUUAUGCGUUGUUGGGUAGGGGAGCGUUCUGUAAGCCUGCGAAGGUGUGCUGUGAGGCAUGCUGGAGGUAUCAGAAGUGCGAAUGCUGACAUAAGUAACGAUAAAGCGGGUGAAAAGCCCGCUCGCCGGAAGACCAAGGGUUCCUGUCCAACGUUAAUCGGGGCAGGGUGAGUCGACCCCUAAGGCGAGGCCGAAAGGCGUAGUCGAUGGGAAACAGGUUAAUAUUCCUGUACUUGGUGUUACUGCGAAGGGGGGACGGAGAAGGCUAUGUUGGCCGGGCGACGGUUGUCCCGGUUUAAGCGUGUAGGCUGGUUUUCCAGGCAAAUCCGGAAAAUCAAGGCUGAGGCGUGAUGACGAGGCACUACGGUGCUGAAGCAACAAAUGCCCUGCUUCCAGGAAAAGCCUCUAAGCAUCAGGUAACAUCAAAUCGUACCCCAAACCGACACAGGUGGUCAGGUAGAGAAUACCAAGGCGCUUGAGAGAACUCGGGUGAAGGAACUAGGCAAAAUGGUGCCGUAACUUCGGGAGAAGGCACGCUGAUAUGUAGGUGAAGUCCCUCGCGGAUGGAGCUGAAAUCAGUCGAAGAUACCAGCUGGCUGCAACUGUUUAUUAAAAACACAGCACUGUGCAAACACGAAAGUGGACGUAUACGGUGUGACGCCUGCCCGGUGCCGGAAGGUUAAUUGAUGGGGUUAGCGGUAACGCGAAGCUCUUGAUCGAAGCCCCGGUAAACGGCGGCCGUAACUAUAACGGUCCUAAGGUAGCGAAAUUCCUUGUCGGGUAAGUUCCGACCUGCACGAAUGGCGUAAUGAUGGCCAGGCUGUCUCCACCCGAGACUCAGUGAAAUUGAACUCGCUGUGAAGAUGCAGUGUACCCGCGGCAAGACGGAAAGACCCCGUGAACCUUUACUAUAGCUUGACACUGAACAUUGAGCCUUGAUGUGUAGGAUAGGUGGGAGGCUU